rnacentral:rRNA from 1 species
AUUGAACGCUGGCGGCAGGCCUAACACAUGCAAGUCGAGCGGAUGAAGGGAGCUUGCUCCUGGAUUCAGCGGCGGACGGGUGAGUAAUGCCUAGGAAUCUGCCUGGUAGUGGGGGAUAACGUCCGGAAACGGGCGCUAAUACCGCAUACGUCCUGAGGGAGAAAGUGGGGGAUCUUCGGACCUCACGCUAUCAGAUGAGCCUAGGUCGGAUUAGCUAGUUGGUGGGGUAAAGGCCUACCAAGGCGACGAUCCGUAACUGGUCUGAGAGGAUGAUCAGUCAACAUGGAACCGAGACAAGGUCCAGACUCCUACGGGAGGCAGCAGUGGGGAAUAUUGGAAAAUGGGCGAAAGCCUGAUCCAGCCAUGCCGCGUGUGUGAAGAAGGUCUUCGGAUUGUAAAGCACUUUAAGUUGGGAGGAAGGGCAGUAAGUUAAUACCUUGCUGUUUUGACGUUACCAACAGAAUAAGCACCGGCUAACUUCGUG